GACGAACCGUGCGAACGUUGUUCGGAUUCACUGGGCUUAAAGGGCGCGUAGGCGGGCGACCAAGUCAGGGGUGAAAUCUUUCGGCCCAACCGGAAAAGUGCCCCUGAUACUGGCCGCCUCGAGGGGGGUAGGGGCAUGCGGAACUUCCGGUGGAGCGGUGAAAUGCGUAGAUAUCGGAAGGAACGCCGGUGGCGAAAGCGGCGUGCUGGACCCCUUCUGACGCUGAGGCGCGAAAGCCAGGGGAGCAAACAGG
rnacentral:rRNA from 1 species